rnacentral:rRNA from 1 species
GUCUAUGGCCAUGCCACCCUGAACAAGCCCCAUCCUGUCUGAUCUCGGAAGCUAAGCAGGGUUGGGCCUGGUUAGUACUUGGAUGGGAGACCACUUAGGAAGAUCAGGUGCUAUAGGCA